rnacentral:misc_RNA from 1 species
UCUCCGUUGGUGAACCAGCGGAGGGAUCAUUACCGAGCUUACAACUCCCAAACCCCUGUGAACAUACCUAUCGUUGCCUCGGCGGUGCCCGCUCCGGCGGCCCGCCAGAGGACCCCCAAACUCUUGUUUUAUACAGUAUCUUCUGAGUAACACGAUUAAAUAAAUCAAAACUUUCAACAACGGAUCUCUUGGUUCUG